CACGGUGGGCGGAAGAAGUGGCCGCUGUUUUGAAAUCAGGCAGUACCGGGCUUUCAAGCCCCUACCCACGCGGGGUCCCGGAAGACGCCCAAUUCCGGGCCGACCCCCUAACGCCUGCUGUGUGACCCCUGCCGGCCUGAAGCCGCAGCCGCGUCAUGUCCACGCCUCCGUUGGCGGCGUCGGGGAUGGCACCCGGGCCGUUCGCCGGGCCCCAGGCUCAGCAGGCCGCCCGGGAGGUCAACACCGCGUCGCUCUGCCGGAUCGGGCAGGAGACGGUCCAGGACAUCGUGUACCGCACCAUGGAGAUCUUCCAGCUGCUGAGGAACAUGCAGGUGGGAAAGAGGGACGUGCAUGAAGCAGGCGGGAUGCUCCUGGGCGGGAAAGGGCCGCAGGUUUAG